UACGAAGGGGGCUAGCGUUGUUCGGAAUUACUGGGCGUAAAGCGCGUGUAGGCGGUCCGGUAAGUCCGCUGUGAAAGUCGAGGGCUCAACCCUCGAAUGCCGGUGGAUACUGUCGGGCUUGAGUACGGGAGAGGCGAGUGGAAUUCCUGGUGUAGCGGUGAAAUGCGCAGAUAUCAGGAGGAACACCGAUUGCGAAGGCAGCUCGCUGGAACGUUACUGACGCUGAGACGCGAAAGCGUGGGGAGCGAACAGG
rnacentral:rRNA from 1 species